rnacentral:tRNA from 1 species
AGCUGAUUCCAAGGAUCGAACUUGGGAUCUUUUGAUUACAAGUCAAAUGCGUUACCACUGCGCCAAACCAGC